AUUGAACGCUGGCGGCAGGCCUAACACAUGCAAGUCGAACGAGUGGCGGACGGGUGAGUAAUGUCGGGGAAACUGCCCGAUGGAGGGGGAUAACUACUGGAAACGGUAGCUAAUACCUAAUACCAUCGGCUGUGCACAGAUGGGAAGAGCUAGUAGGGGGGGUGACGGCUCACCUAGGCGACGAUCCCGAGCUGGUCUGAGAGGAUGACCAGUCACACUGGAACCGAGACACGGUCCAGACUCCUACGGGAGGCAGCAGUGGGGAAUAUUGCACAAUGGGCGCAAGCCUGAUGCAGCCAUGCCGCGUGUAUGAAGAAGGCCUUCGGGUUGUAAAGUACUUUCAGCGAGGAGGCGUUACUCGCAGAAGAAGCACCGGCUAACUCCGUGCCAGCCGCCGCGGUAAUUC
rnacentral:rRNA from 1 species